CAAGCCCAAGCCUCCCUCAUUUUUCUCAGUGUGCCCUAAACACUUCCUCUCGCUAGAAAUUUGGGAACACCUCUCGCUCUCUCCCCUCCGUCUCGCUCAGGUCUCGCGAUCUCUCUCUCUCUCUCCUCCCGCCCGUCCGCCUUCAUGUGAUCGACGCCUAAUCUCGAGAGCUCCCCCGCGUUUCCCAGAACCAUUAACAGCAUGGUCCUAAAGCGGCGUGCUCGUGUGAUCACUUACGGUGGUGGUGUAAAUCCAAAACAUUUAAGAGUAUCUAGAUGUUCCUCUUCUUAUGGAGUAGACCUGGAGGGUCGAUUGGGCGCAAUUGAACGCAGGCUAGAUCAGAUUGAAGAUGAACUUCAAGCAACUCGACAAGAAAAUGCUGCUCUUAGGCGUCGAAUGGAUGAGUUCGAAGCCACAUAUCAGGAAAUGAUCCGAUUUGUGCAACAUUCUCGUCGCACUCAGGAUGGUGGCUCAUCAUUGCCUUCAGAAGGAGCACCUCAGGGCUCCAAAUCUUAAAACUUUUGAGGAGCAGUACUCUGAUGCUGUGGACCAUCCGACAGCUGGUAUGUGUGGAAGUGCAAGGCAAAUGAGAAUCUGGGGGAUGAAGAUGCUUCAACAUGCAAAUAGGAAUUUCGGUCUUUCAGCUGCAACUUAGGGGAAGUAGAUAUUAGAUAGUAUUCUCCUUUUGCACCAUGGUGUUUAUAAGUGUACCUAACUUCUUUAGUAUGGUUUGCUUCGGUGCAAGGUUUGAAGGAAAAGAUAAAUUAUAACUUCAAAAAAAAGAAAGAAGAAAUCAAAUGGAUACCAUGGUGCUUGUUUAUAACUCGGAUAUUCACACAAUGGUAUGGGCCUUGUUUUUGGAACGAGCUGGGCAUUAAAAUGAAUGGCUUAGUGGAAAUCAAGGUGUUGUGGGAGCUUAAUUGAAGAAUUGCAUUGCGUGUGCAAUGGAUAGUUUCCUUGAUCCGUCAUCGACGGCACUUGAGUUGC